GAUGAACGCUGGCGGCGUGCCUAAUACAUGCAAGUCGAGCGAACAGAUGAGGAGCUUGCUCCUCUGACGUUAGCGGCGGACGGGUGAGUAACACGUGGAUAACCUACCUAUAAGACUGGGAUAACUUCGGGAAACCGGAGCUAAUACCGGAUAAUAUAUUGAACCGCAUGGUUCAAUAGUGAAAGACGGUUUUGCUGUCACUUAUAGAUGGAUCCGCGCCGCAUUAGCUAGUUGGUAAGGUAACGGCUUACCAAGGCAACGAUGCAUAGCCGACCUGAGAGGGCGAUCGGCCACACUGGAACUGAGACACGGUCCAGACUCCUACGGGAGGCAGCAGUAGGGAAUCUUCCGCAAUGGGCGAAAGCCUGACGGAGCAACGCCGCGUGAGUGAUGAAGGUCUUCGGAUCGUAAAACUCUGUUAUUAGGGAAGAACAAAUGUGUAAGUAACUAUGCACGUCUUGACGGUACCUAAUCAGAAAGCCACGGCUAACUACGUG
rnacentral:rRNA from 1 species